rnacentral:rRNA from 1 species
GAUGAACGCUGGCGGCGUGCCUAAUACAUGCAAGUCGAGCGAACGGACGAGAAGCUUGCUUCUCUGAUGUUAGCGGCGGACGGGUGAGUAACACGUGGAUAACCUACCUAUAAGACUGGGAUAACUUCGGGAAACCGGAGCUAAUACCGGAUAAUAUUUUGAACCGCAUGGUUCAAAAGUGAAAGACGGUCUUGCUGUCACUUAUAGAUGGAUCCGCGCUGCAUUAGCUAGUUGGUAAGGUAACGGCUUACCAAGGCAACGAUGCAUAGCCGACCUGAGAGGGUGAUCGGCCACACUGGAACUGAGACACGGUCCAGACUCCUACGGGAGGCAGCAGUAGGGAAUCUUCCGCAGUGGGCGAAAGCCUGACGGAGCAACGCCGCGUGAGUGAUGAAGGUCUUCGGAUCGUAAAACGCUGUUAUUAGGGAAGAACAUAUGUGUAAGUAACUGUGCACAUCUUGACGGUACCUAAUCAGAAAGCCACGGCUAACUACGU